rnacentral:rRNA from 1 species
ACUCAUUAAAAGAGUGCGUAAUAGCUCACUGGUCGAGUGACCCUGCGCGGAAAAUAUAACGGGGCUAAGCGUCCAACCGAAGCUUGGGAUGUCUAAGGACAUGGUAGGGGAGCGUCGUGUAUAGGGAGAAGCAUGAGCGAGAGCACAUGUGGACAGUACACGAGUGAGAAUGCCGGAAUGAGUAGCGAGAAUUAUGUGGGAAUCAUAAUGGCCGAAAAUCUAAGGUUUCUUGGGGAAGGUUCGUCCGCCCAAGGUAAGUCGGGAGCUAAGCUCAGGCCGAGAGGCGUAGGCGAUGCACAUACGGUAGAAAUUCCGUAACCACCGAAACUUAAACAGAGGGACACUUCGAAAUAGCGGAACCCGGGCGUUGGUUGACCCGGGCGUAAGGGAGCGAAAUUAGAGUAGCGAAGUCCGCGAUGUUCGGAGGCGAGAAAAGCUCUGAGGUAUGCUAAGGUGCCCGUACCGCAAACCGACACAGGUAGAUGAGGAGAGAAUCCUAAGGCCAACGGGAGAAGGGUUGUUAAGGAACUCGGCAAAUUGACCCCGUAACUUCGGAAGAAGGGGAGCCCCCUACGGGGGGUCGCAGAGAAAUGACCCAAGCAACUGUUUACCAAAAACACAGGUCUAUGCUAAAUCGAAAGAUGACGUAUAUGGGCUGACGCCUGCCCGGUGCCGGAAGGUUAAGAGGAGAUGUCAGGCAACGAAGCAUUGAAUUUAAGCCCCGGUAAACGGCGGCCGUAACUAUAACGGUCCUAAGGUAGCGAAAUUCCUUGUCAGGUAAGUUCUGACCCGCACGAAUGGCGUAAUGAUUUGGGCACUGUCUCAACAGCCCGCCCGGCGAAAUUGUAGUACUGGUGAAGAUGCCAGUUACCCGCAACUAGACGGAAAGACCCCAUGGAGCUUUACUGCAGUUUAAUACUGGGAAUCGGUAAUGCAUGUACAGGAUAGGUGGGAGACUAGGAAGCAUUGGCGUCAGCCAGUGUGGAGUCGCUGGUGGGAUACCACUCUUGAUUUGCUGGGUUUCUAACCUGCGGCCGUGAAUCCGGUCGGGGGACACUGUUAGGCGGGCAGUUUGACUGGGGCGGUCGCCUCCCAAAAGGUAACGGAGGCGCUCAAAGGUUCGUUCAGCACGGACGGAAAUCGUGCAAUGAGUGUAAACGCAUAAACGAGCCUAACUGCGACACCGACGGGUGGAGCAGUAACGAAAGUUGGAGUUAGUGAUCCGGUGGUAUGUGAGUGGAAAUGCCA